AUGCUCGCUUUGUCAGCACAUAUACUAAAAUUGAAAUGAUACAGAGAAGAUGAGCAUGGCCCCUGUACAAGGAGGGAUAUCAUCCCACCUUCUUUCUUCUCUUU
rfam:Erinaceus europaeus unplaced genomic scaffold scaffold00033, whole genome shotgun sequence